UAGGGAAUCUUCCACAAUGGACGCAAGUCUGAUGGCGCAACGCCGCGUGAGUGAAGAAGGUUUUCGGAUCGUAAAGCUCUGUUGUUGGUGAAGAAGGAUAGAGGCAGUAACUGGUCUUUAUUUGACGGUAAUCAACCAGAAAGUCACGGCUAACUACGUGCCAGCAGCCGCGGUAAUACGUAGGUGGCAAGCGUUGUCCGGAUUUAUUGGGCGUAAAGCGAGCGCAGGCGGAAUGAUAAGUCUGAUGUGAAAGCCCACGGCUCAACCGUGGAACUGCAUCGGAAACUGUCAUUCUUGAGUGCAGAAGAGGAGAGUGGAAUUCCAUGUGUAGCGGUGGAAUGCGUAGAUAUAUGGAAGAACACCAGUGGCGAAGGCGGCUCUCUGGUCUGCAACUGACGCUGAGGCUCGAAAGCAUGGGUAGCGAACAGG
rnacentral:rRNA from 1 species